UCUAAUGUGGCAGAAAAAUGCAAUAAGCUUAAGACUUAUAAAUAAAGAAUAAUCUUUCAUUAGAA
rnacentral:tRNA from 1 species